rnacentral:misc_RNA from 1 species
GAAAUGCGAUAAGUAAUGUGAAUUGCAGAAUUCAGUGAAUCAUCAAAUCUUUGAACGCAUCUUGCGCUCCUUGGUAUUCCGAGGAGCAUGCCUGUUUGAGUGUCAUUCAACUUCUCAACCACAUGCCUAAUGUGGCUUGGACAUGAAGGGAUUAUUUUUUGCAGGCUUCAAAAAGAGGUCGGCUCCCCUGAAAUGCAGUAGUGGUAUCUGUGCCUUACUACUAUUGGGUGUGAUAAAUUAUCUAUGCCCUUUGGUAUGCUGCAUGAACCAGAUUGCGCUGCUUCUAAAGAAAAAGUAACCUUGAUAAAUUUGACCUCAAAUCAGGUAUGACUACCCACUGAACUUAA